UCGAGAAUAUUCCACAAUGGGCGAAAGCCUGAUGGAGCGACGCCGCGUGCAGGAAGAAGGUCUUAGGAUUGUAAACUGCUUUUCUACGGGAAGAAGGUACGACAAGUACUGUGACGGUACCGUAGGAAUAAGUGGCUGCAAACUUCGUGCCAGCAGCCGCGGUAAUACGAAGGCCACAAGCGUUAUCCGGAUUUAUUGGGUGUAAAGGGCGCGUAGGCGGUUUGGUGCGUCUUCUGUUAAAUUCCACUGCUCAACGGUGGAGCUGCAGGAGAUACGGCCAAACUCGAGAGUGUUAGAGGCAAAUGGAACUCAUGGUGUAGGGGUGAAAUCCGUUGAUAUCAUGGGGAACACCGAAGGCGAAGGCAAUUUGCUGGGACAUUUCUGACGCUGAGGCGCGAAAGCGUGGGGAGCAAAAAGG
rnacentral:rRNA from 1 species